GAUUGCAGGCUGCAACUCGCCUGCAUGAAGUCGGAAUUGCUAGUAAUCGCAGAUCAGCAUGCUGCGGUGAAUACGUUCCCGGGCCUUGUACACACCGCCCGUCACACCAUGGGAGUCGGUAACACCCGAAGUCGGUAGCCUAACCGUAAGGAGGGCGCCGCCGAAGGUGGGAUUGAUGACUGGGGUGAAGUCGUAACAAGGUAAC
rnacentral:rRNA from 1 species